rnacentral:rRNA from 1 species
ACGCUCGACACCUACGUGAGGCAGCAGUGGGGAAUAUUGCACAAUGGGGGAAACCCUGAUGCAGCGACGCCGCGUGGAGGAAGAAGGUCUUCGGAUUGUAAACUCCUGUUGUUGGGGAAAAAGAGGAUGGUACCCAACAAGGAAGUGACGGCUAACUACGUGCAGCAGCCGCGGUAAUCUGAGCGGGCUGGCAAGGC